AUGUACAGACAGGGAUUCUCUUCAUUGAAUAAUCCACUACAAGCACUACUGCUCUCUGUGGACCCCCCCACAGAAGAGGGUAGAGAGGAGGGGGGGUUGGGAAAUAGCAAGACGAGAGGAGGUCAGAAGGAAAGGAGGGAAGAGCAAAAAGAGGGGAAAAGAGGGGAGAGGAAAAGAGGGAAGAGGAAAGGAGAGGGGAGAGGAAAAGAGGGAAGAGGAAAGGAAGGCAGAGGGAAAAGAGAAGGAAAGGAAAGGAGGGCCGAGGGAAAAGAGGGAAGAGGAAAGGAGGGCCGAGGGAAAAGAGGGAAGAUGGAAACGAGAGGAGAGGAAAGGAGGGCCGAGGGAAAAGAGGGAAGAGGAAAGGAGGACCGAGGGAAAAGAGAAGGAGAGGAAAGGAAGGCAGAUGGAAAGGAGGGCAGAGGGAAAAGAGAGGAGAGGAAAGGAGGGCCGAGGGAAAGAGGAAAAGAGGGCAGAGGGAAAAGAGAGGAGAGGAAAGGAAGGCAGAUGGAAAGGAGGGCAGAGGGAAAAGAGAAGGAGAGGAAAGGAAGGCAGAAGGAAAGGAGGGCAGAGGGAAAAGAGAGGAGAGGAAAGGAAGGCAGAUGGAAAGGAGGGCAGAGGGAAAAGAGAGGAGAGGAAAGGAAGGCAGAUGGAAAAGAGAGGAGAGGAAAGGAAGGCAGAAGGAAAGGAGGGCAGAGGGAAAAGAGAGGAGAGGAGGGCAGAGGGAAAAGAGAGGAGAGGAGGGCAGGGCAGAGGGAAAAGAGAGGAGAGGAGGGCAGGGCAGAGGGAAAAGAGAGGAGAGGAGGGCAGAGGGAAAAGAGAGGAGAGGAGGGCAGAGGGAAAAGAGAGGAGAGGAGGGCAGAGGGAAAAGAGAGGAGAGGAGGGCAGAGGGAAAAGAGAAGAGAGGAGAGGAGGGCAGAGGGAAACGAGAGGAGAGGAAGGCAGAUGGAAAAGAGAGGAGAGGAAGGCAGAUGGAAAAGAGAGGAGGGCAGAGGGAAAAGAGAGGAGAGGAGGGCAGAGGGAAAAGAGAGGAGAGUGAUUGUUUACUCUACACUCUGCCAGUAA
rnacentral:lncRNA from 1 species